UGGGGAAUUUUGGACAAUGGGCGAAANCCUGAUCCAGCAAUGCCGCGUGUGUGAAGAAGGCCUUCGGGUUGUAAAGCACUUUUGUCCGGAAAGAAAUCCUUGGCUCUAAUACAGUCGGGGGAUGACGGUACCGGAAGAAUAAGCACCGGCUAACUACGUGCCAGCAGCCGCGGUAAUACGUAGGGUGCAAGCGUUAAUCGGAAUUACUGGGCGUAAAGCGUGCGCAGGCGGUUUGCUAAGACCAAUGUGAAAUCCCCGGGCUCAACCUGGGAACUGCAUUGGUGACUGGCAGGCUAGAGUAUGGCAGAGGGGGGUAGAAUUCCACGUGUAGCAGUGAAAUGCGUAGAGAUGUGGAGGAAUACCGAUGGCGAAGGCAGCCCCCUGGGCCAAUACUGACGCUCAUGCACGAAAGCGUGGGGAGCAAACAGGAUUAGAUACCCUGGUAGUCCACGCCCUAAAACGAUGUCAACUAGUUGUUGGGGAUUCAUUUCCUUAGUAACGUAGCUAACGCGUGAAGUUGACCGCCUGGGGAGUACGGUCGCAAGAUUAAAACUUAAAUGAAUUGACGGGGUCAUAGCUGUUUCCU
rnacentral:rRNA from 1 species